CAAUCCACGCCGGCGCUGAGGCGCGCGCAUCAAGCGAUGGCAGAGUCCAGGAAACGCAGCCUUGGCCGGGCUGUGAAAACUUCCUUGCUGGUGCCCCGCGACCUGCAGCUGCCCCCGACCAGGCGAGACCAGCCGGCCUUCAGAGAACAAAGGAAAGAAAAACUCAAGGAAUAUCUGUUAACACGAAAAACAGUGUUUCCAUACAAACAAGAAAGGCAGAUAU